CCGUCUGCCCGAUGCCCCCGACGAAAACGCAGAGCCCCUCCCACCCCCCCACCCAGCAGCCUCCGCAUGCAGCAAGUUCUCCCAUAAGUUGCGGCGACCUUUUAACGCAAGGCUUCAUGACCAGUAAUUGUGCUCACGGACUCUGCUGAAACCUCCAAUCUUGAAGAGCUGCUGGACACCGCCAAAGUUGAAGGGGAGUGACGAGUUGUUCCAGCCCUUUUGGAGUUGGCGGGUGCCAACCAUCAAGGGGUGCAACGAUGUCUCAGAGGCGAACACGCAGUGCUUCUGAGAACUGGCACCUUCCUUGGCAAAGAGGAAAGCUCUCCGUUUGAGGCAGCAGGGUCAACGAGAAUAGUCUACAGCUGCAGCUACUGUUCGCUGGAGUUUCUGGAGAUACAGGACCUCACCAACCACAUAGGAGUGUGUCCGUGAAUGCACAAGUGCCCCUUGUGUUCCAACCGGACCUCAAUGCAGGACCACAUCCCCACUCGCAUCGAGGAGCUAGGAACAAAGCGCCCCUUGUGCGAGCAUAAAGUUGCUGGCGAGAACUCGGAUUUGUUAGGUGACAAAAUGCGGCUUCUUAACUUUAAA